rnacentral:rRNA from 1 species
GAUGAACGCUGGCGGCGUGCCUAAUACAUGCAAGUCGAACGCAUAGCGAAAGGUGCUUGCACCUUUCAAGUGAGUGGCGAACGGGUGAGUAACACGUGGACAACCUGCCUCAAGGCUGGGGAUAACAUUUGGAAACAGAUGCUAAUACCGAAUAAAACUUAGUGUCGCAUGACACAAAGUUAAAAGGCGCUUCGGCGUCACCUAGAGAUGGAUCCGCGGUGCAUUAGUUAGUUGGUGGGGUAAAGGCCUACCAAGACAAUGAUGCAUAGCCGAGUUGAGAGACUGAUCGGCCACAUUGGGACUGAGACACGGCCCAAACUCCUACGGGAGGCUGCAGUAGGGAAUCUUCCACAAUGGGCGAAAGCCUGAUGGAGCAACGCCGCGUGUGUGAUGAAGGCUUUCGGGUCGUAAAGCACUGUUGUAUGGGAAGAACAGCUAGAAUAGGAAAUGAUUCUAGUUUGACGGUACCAUACCAGAAAGGGACGGCUAAAUACCUG